GUACACUCCUACGGGAGGCAGCAGUGGGGAAUAUUGGACAAUGGGCGCAAGCCUGAUCCAGCCAUGCCGCGUGAGUGAUGAAGGCCCUAGGGUUGUAAAGCUCUUUCACCGGUGAAGAUAAUGACGGUAACCGGAGAAGAAGCCCCGGCUAACUUCGUGCCAGCAGCCGCGGUAAUACGAAGGGGGCUAGCGUUGUUCGGAUUUACUGGGCGUAAAGCGCACGUAGGCGGACUAUUAAGUCAGGGGUGAAAUCCCGGGGCUCAACCCCGGAACUGCCUUUGAUACUGGUAGUCUUGGGUUCGAGAGAGGUGAGUGGAAUUCCGAGUGCAGAGGUGAAAUUCGUAGAUAUUCGGAGGAACACCAGUGGCGAAGGCGGCUCACUGGCUCGAUACUGACGCUGAGGUGCGAAAGCGUGGGGAGCAAACAGGAUUAGAAACCCGAGUAGUCCCA
rnacentral:rRNA from 1 species